GGGGAGAGACGGCGCGUGCGCGCUCCCGCAAGAGGGCCUCCGCUGGGACGCGCUCCCGCGGCGGCGGCGGCGCGCGAUGUCGCUCAGAACGCGGUGCCGGGAGAUCUUCUGAGAACCCUGGAGUGUGUACACAUUCCAAAUGAGAGGUCCAUUGACUUUUGCUUCAAGUUAAGAUGUUUUAUAUCUUUACCAUAAAGUGAUUGAUGAUUAGAAGCUGAUGAGAAUUGAUAACACAAGAAGACAAUGCAUUUAGAAGGGGUUUUGAAAACAAACAGCAACAGAAAAAGAGCUGCCAAGGACAUGAGUGAAAAUUCAGCAGACCAGCUAUGAAGGGGUUUUUGGAAGAGAAUGCCAUAUUUGUCCUCUGACUCUGCUCUAGCCACCUCUCCUUCCUCAGUGCACAGAUAUAAUUCACUAUUUUGAUUCUAAUCACCAAACCCUUCUUGCAUGCCUUGGACAAAAGAUUCAGUGACCUUCUUGAUGAAUUACUGUCUCCCAAACUUUUCUGAUUUUAAGAGCUACUUAUUAUAAAUAAAAAUA